rnacentral:rRNA from 1 species
ACAAUGAAGAGUUUGAUCCUGGCUCAGGAUGAACGCUAGCUACAGGCUUAACACAUGCAAGUCGAGGGGCAUCAGGAAGAAAGCUUGCUUUCUUUGCUGGCGACCGGCGCACGGGUGAGUAACACGUAUCCAACCUGCCCUUUACUCGGGGAUAGCCUUUCGAAAGAAAGAUUAAUACCCGAUAGCAUAAUGAUUCCGCAUGGUUUCAUUAUUAAAGGAUUCCGGUAAAGGAUGGGGAUGCGUUCCAUUAGGUUGUUGGUGAGGUAACGGCUCACCAAGCCUUCGAUGGAUAGGGGUUCUGAGAGGAAGGUCCCCCACAUUGGAACUGAGACACGGUCCAAACUCCUACGGGAGGCAGCAGUGAGGAAUAUUGGUCAAUGGGCGCUAGCCUGAACCAGCCAAGUAGCGUGAAGGAUGAAGGCUCUAUGGGUCGUAAACUUCUUUUAUAUAAGAAUAAAGUGCAGUAUGUAUACUGUUUUGUAUGUAUUAUAUGAAUAAGGAUCGGCUAACUCCGUGCCAGCAGCCGCGGUAAUACGGAGGAUCCGAGCGUUAUCCGGAUUUAUUGGGUUUAAAGGGAGCGUAGGUGGACUGGUAAGUCAGUUGUGAAAGUUUGCGGCUCAACCGUAAAAUUGCAGUUGAUACUGUCAGUCUUGAGUACAGUAGAGGUGGGCGGAAUUCGUGGUGUAGCGGUGAAAUGCUUAGAUAUCACGAAGAACUCCGAUUGCGAAGGCAGCUCACUGGACUGCAACUGACACUGAUGCUCGAAAGUGUGGGUAUCAAACAGGAUUAGAUACCCUGGUAGUCCACACAGUAAACGAUGAAUACUCGCUGUUUGCGAUAUACAGUAAGCGGCCAAGCGAAAGCAUUAAGUAUUCCACCUGGGGAGUACGCCGGCAACGGUGAAACUCAAAGGAAUUGACGGGGGCCCGCACAAGCGGAGGAACAUGUGGUUUAAUUCGAUGAUACGCGAGGAACCUUACCCGGGCUUAAAUUGCAGUGGAAUGAUGUGGAAACAUGUCAGUGAGCAAUCACCGCUGUGAAGGUGCUGCAUGGUUGUCGUCAGCUCGUGCCGUGAGGUGUCGGCUUAAGUGCCAUAACGAGCGCAACCCUUAUCUUCAGUUACUAACAGGUUAUGCUGAGGACUCUGGAGAGACUGCCGUCGUAAGAUGUGAGGAAGGUGGGGAUGACGUCAAAUCAGCACGGCCCUUACGUCCGGGGCUACACACGUGUUACAAUGGGGGGUACAGAAGGCAGCUAGCGGGUGACCGUAUGCUAAUCCCAAAAGCCUCUCUCAGUUCGGAUCGAAGUCUGCAACCCGACUUCGUGAAGCUGGAUUCGCUAGUAAUCGCGCAUCAGCCACGGCGCGGUGAAUACGUUCCCGGGCCUUGUACACACCGCCCGUCAAGCCAUGGGAGCCGGGGGUACCUGAAGUACGUAACCGCAAGGAUCGUCCUAGGGUAAAACUGGUGACUGGGGCUAAGUCGUAACAAGGUAGCCGUACCGGAAGGUGCGGCUGGAACACCUCCUUU